rnacentral:rRNA from 1 species
GGGCGAAACCUGAUCCAGCCAUGCCGCGUGAUGUGAAGAAGGUCUUCGGAUUGUAAAGCACUUUAAGUUGGGAGGAAGGGCAGAUGCUUAAUACGUUGCUACCUUGACGUUACCGACAGAAUAAGCACCGGCUAACUUCGUGCCAGCAGCCGCGGUAAUACGA